rnacentral:rRNA from 1 species
AGAGUUUGAUCCUGGCUCAGAUUGAACGCUGGCGGCAUGCCUUACACAUGCAAGUCGAACGGCAGCACGGGGGCAACCCUGGUGGCGAGUGGCGAACGGGUGAGUAAUACAUCGGAACGUGUCCUGUAGUGGGGGAUAGCCCGGCGAAAGCCGGAUUAAUACCGCAUACGAUCUACGGAAGAAAGCGGGGGAUCCUUCGGGACCUCGCGCUAUAGGGGCGGCCGAUGGCAGAUUAGCUAGUUGGUGGGGUAAAGGCCUACCAAGGCGACGAUCUGUAGCUGGUCUGAGAGGACGACCAGCCACACUGGGACUGAGACACGGCCCAGACUCCUACGGGAGGCAGCAGUGGGGAAUUUUGGACAAUGGGGGCAACCCUGAUCCAGCAAUGCCGCGUGUGUGAAGAAGGCCUUCGGGUUGUAAAGCACUUUUGUCCGGAAAGAAAACGUCUUGGUUAAUACCUGAGGCGGAUGACGGUACCGGAAGAAUAAGCACCGGCUAACUACGUGCCAGCAGCCGCGGUAAUACGUAGGGUGCGAGCGUUAAUCGGAAUUACUGGGCGUAAAGCGUGCGCAGGCGGUCUGUUAAGACCGAUGUGAAAUCCCCGGGCUUAACCUGGGAACUGCAUUGGUGACUGGCAGGCUUUGAGUGUGGCAGAGGGGGGUAGAAUUCCACGUGUAGCAGUGAAAUGCGUAGAGAUGUGGAGGAAUACCGAUGGCGAAGGCAGCCCCCUGGGCCAACACUGACGCUCAUGCACGAAAGCGUGGGGGAGCAAACAGGAUUAGAUACCCUGGUAGUCCACGCCCUAAACGAUGUCAACUAGUUGUUGGGGAUUCAUUUCCUUAGUAACGUA